rnacentral:rRNA from 1 species
UACAGAGGUCCCAAGCGUUGUUCGGAUUCACUGGGCGUAAAGGGUGCGUAGGCGGUCGGGUAAGUCUGGCGUGAAAUCUCCAAGCCUAACUUGGAAACUGCGUUGGAUACUAUCCGGCUCGAGGAAUGGAGGGGAGACUGGAAUACUUGGUGUAGCAGUGAAAUGCGUAGAUAUCAAGUGGAACACCAGUGGCGAAGGCGGCCAUCUGGACGGCUAUUGACGCUGAGACGCGAAAGCGUGGGGAGCAAACAGG